UGGGGGUUGGUGGAAGGAUGGUCUAAACACUGUUGGUUUUUGACCGCUACGACCCGGGUUCGAUUCCCGCAUUGGCAC
rnacentral:tRNA from 1 species